GAGCUGUCAGCACAGAACCCGACGCAGGGCUCGAACUCACGGACCGUGAGAUCAUGACCUGAGCCGAAGUCGGACGCUUAACCGACUGGGCCACCCAGGUGCCCCGACACCAAUAACUUUUGUAGGGACUAUAUUUGGAAUCUGAAUGGGGUGACCCAGGAGGGGGGGUUGUGUAUACACACACACACACACACACGCACACGAAUAUUACUCAGCCAUAAAAAAUAAUGAAAUUUUGCCAUUUGCAAUGACAUGGAUGGAGCUGAAGAGUAUCGUGCUGGGCGAAAUAAGCGAGUCAGAGACAGACAGACAUCAUAUGCUUUCACUCCGGUAGUCGUUUCAACGAAUGAGUGGCUGCCCUCUUCUCCGCCAAGCACCUGGACAUACUGAAGUUUAUCCACCUGCACCCUUGAAUCCCUGGCGCCUGAGAGAGGGCUCCUCAUCCCAGGUCACACCUCAGACUUGAUCGGAUGGCGGUUAUGAAGGCAAGGUCACAUGGAAGAAUGCCACUUCCCUCGACAGAUGAGACAGGUCCAAGAAGACAAUUUUUUCUUUAAGUGGGGUCGCUUUUUUUCCGAACAAGGCUUGCAUCCACAGUAAUUUUAUGCUACAACGUGAAUAAUGGAUCUGGAAAACCUUUCUUUCCAGGACAGACGUAUAUAUACGAGGCAUUUUCCCCCCCUGCUAUCCAAUAAUGAUUAUUUUGAUUACACAGAGAAGUUCUUAGGUAAGUGGAACAAUAUAAAAUCAAUAUGAAAAAAAGGUAAAAAUGUGUUUUUUGGGGGUAUUAGACGAUGGUGAAACAGGUAAUUUGUGUGUGUGUGUGUGUGUGUGUGUGUGUUGAAUAACGCAGAGUAAAGUUAUCCUAAUUCCAUUCAUCAAUUAAUUUAAUUUUGAUUCCACGUUAACCUCCUUUACUCAGCUCCUCUCCCCACCCCCACCCCCCCAAAUCCCUGUAAGGAAGCCCUGUGAAUGCCCCAGACAUGAGGCUAUGAGAGCUUGGCUGAGCUCCUGCGUCUGGGGAUUACUUUCCAGAUUUAUUUGCGGGGUGUCUAUGCCGGGCAAGUCUUAGCUUUCGCAAAAGACUAAUUACUCCUUGUACCUUUUGACAUUAAAAUGCAUCUGAGACCUUGCCUCCACUUAACACAACUCUGAGGCAUACCUUAUUCAGCAGAAGCAACGGGGGCCCCUGUCGCCAAGGCUUAGCAGAUAAGAAGAUUAGGACAACGGAUUUUAACUUUCAUUUCUUUGAUGCAAAAGAGCUUCUAAGGGCCAUGCUGACGACUCAUAUGGGCCGACACAGGGAAUGGGAGAGAGGACAGGAGGGGAGCUGCCUGGUGUACAGAAGGCCUCCAAGUUACGUUAAUCACUGAAGAGCUCUGAGCUGUUGUAGAACCUUCUGGAGGCAAAAGGAACUGUUCACGGCCAUGGUCCUGGGGGAACUGAAGGGCAGGUUCGGGGAGAUGCUUUUCUUUUUUUUUAUUUUUAAAAAAAAAUUUUUUUUUCAACGUUUAUUUUAUUUUUUUUGGGACAGAGAGAGACAGAGCAUGAACGGGGGAGGG